rnacentral:misc_RNA from 1 species
CCAAUAGCGUAUAUUAAAGUUGUUGCAGUUAAAAAGCUCGUAGUUGAAUUUCGGGGUUAGUAAGUUGGUCGUGCCACUGGUAUGUACUGGCUUUACUGAUUCCUCCUUCUUGUAGAACCGUAAUGCCAUUAAGUUGGUGUUGCGGGGAAACAGGACUGUUACUUUGAAAAACUUAGUGUUUAAAGCAAGCUAACGCUUGAAUACAUUAGCAUGGAAUAAUGAAAUAGGACGUUCGAUCCUAUUUUGUUGGUUUCUAGGAUUGACGUAAUGAUUAAUAGGGAUAGUUGGGGGCAUUAGUAUUCAAUUGUCAGAGGUGAAAUUCUUGGAUUUAUUGAAGACUAACUACUGCGAAAGCAUUUGCCAAGGAUGUUUUCAUUAAUCAAGAACGAAAGUUAGGGGAUCGAAGACGAUCAGAUACCGUCGUAGUCUUAACCAUAAACUAUGCCGACUAGGGAUCGGAUGAUGUUAAUUUUAUAAUGACUCAUUCGGCGCCUUACG